AGACAUCUCACUAAGUGUCAAGAAGUUCUGCUACCCCCUAGCUCUUACUCAAUCCCCAAACCACUGUUGGUCUUCAUCACAAAUGUCAAGCCCUUCUUCUCUUUCCUAAACAAUAAGAAAACUGAGAAGACAGAGAGGUUAAAUAUCUUUCCUAAGGUCACAGAACUGAUAUGACAUCAAAGCUCUUAUUGGGACAGGCAGUUUCAGCAGGGUUGUCAGGGUAGAGCAGAAGACCACCAAGAAACCUUUUGCAAUAAAAGUGAUGGAAACCAGAGAGAGAGAAGGUAGAGAAGCGUGCGUGUCUGAGCUGAGCGUCCUGCGGCGGGUUAGCCAUCGUUACAUUGUCCAGCUCAUGGAGAUCUUUGAGGCUGAGGAUCGAGUUUACAUGGUAAUGGAGCUGGCUACCGGAGGGGAGCUCUUUGAUCGACUCAUUGCUCAGGGAUCCUUUACAGAGCGGGAUGCCGUCAGGAUCCUCCAGAUGGUUGCUGAUGGGAUUAGGUAUUUGCACACGCUGCGAAUAACUCAUAGGAACCUAAAGCCUGAAAACCUCUUAUACUAUCAUCCAGGUGCAGAGUCGAAAAUUUUAAUUACAGAUUUUGGUUUGGCACACUCCGGGAACAAAAGUGGUGACUGGACAAUGAAGACACUCUGUGGGACCCCAGAGUACAUAGCUCCCGAGGUUUUGCUAAGGAAGCCUUAUACCAGUGCAGUGGACAUGUGG
rnacentral:sRNA from 1 species